AGCGAACGCUGGCGGCAGGCUUAACACAUGCAAGUCGAGCGGGCAUCUUCGGAUGUCAGCGGCAGACGGGUGAGUAACACGUGGGAACGUACCCUUCGGUUCGGAACAACUCUGGGAAACUGGAGCUAAUACCGGAUACGCCCUUAUGGGGCAGGGUUUACUGCCGAAGGAUCGGCCCGCGUCUGAUUAGCUAGUUGGUGGGGUAACGGCCUACCAAGGCGACGAUCAGUAGCUGGUCUGAGAGGAUGGUCAGCCACACUGGGACUGGGAAACGGCACCGACACCAACGGAAGGCGCCAAAGGGGAUUUUUGAACAUCGGCCAAACGCGGAAGCCGUCCUUGCGGGGGGUGUGAUGAAGCCUUUGGGUUGUAAAGCCCUUUUUUUCAGGACGAGAAUAGCGGGACCCGAAAAAUUAAUCCCGGGCAACCUCGUA
rnacentral:rRNA from 1 species